ACGCGCUGCUGAGACACUUUAGGAAUGAGAAGCGGUGCGACGACUCUUCCCCGGGGCGGACGGACACACCGCAGGCACUUUGCAAGAGACAGUGGAACAGUUUACACAUCUGUGUGAGGCCGGAUUUUCCUUAUUGCUUCAACCAAAACAACAUAUCACAGAAGACUGAAUGCAAAAGCAGCUUUGGGAGAAGAUAACUGCCGUGUCAUGUAAGCAGCCCUACAGAGAGGCCCAUCUGGCAAGGAACUGAGGCCUCCUGCCAACAGCCAUGUGAGUGAUCUUGGAAGCAUACUCUCCACCUUCAUUGGACAACUGAGCACCAGCUGACUACCUGACUGC